UUGGAGAUUUCGGGGUAGCACUUAUGACUCAUGUGGAGCAAUAAAAGGUAUCUACAUAUACACUGAGCCAUGCUACGAUAAAAAGCCAUGGAUCUGUGAGAAGGCGCCCAGCCAACCCAGCCGAGACCACAAUCAAUGAGAGCCUCUAUAGGACACUCCUCUCCCGCUGCUCCAGGCUCGGCUCCUGCGCCGCCUUCGUGCCCUGCUCUGUGCCGAGGACGCAGCACCCGAGGGCCGUCCGGCCCCACCAGCACCGCCCGCCCCACUCAGCCUUGCCCCCUGCUCCGGCCUGGAGCCCCCACACCCCGGCAGGUGCCAGCUCGCGCGCUGGGCAGGGCUGGGGGCAUCAUGCCCAGGAAAAGAGCCGCCCGCCCUCAGCAGACAGCCAGCCCCCUUCCCGCACGUGGGGCUGGGUCCCAUGGGGGCGAGCAACCCUGCCGAGCGUGGGCUCCCUGGCAGCUCCGCCCGCCCUGCUGCACUAAAUGCCUCAGUGGGGCGGGCUCCGGGAGCUGCUCUCUGCCCCCCAGACCCUCCUGCAGCCCCAUGGCUGUGGGCCUUGGCCCCAUGCAGGGCCCCUCUAACGGUGUCGGGCUCCCAGGCGGGCCGGGUCGCUGGUGCGGGGCGAGUUCUGCUGCCCACAGCCGGGCGUGGCUGGGACCGGGGCGCUGCCCGGCAGCUGGGAGCAGCAGAGCAGUGAGGCAGGGCACCCACGGCCUGGUGCACGGGGGGGUGAGAGCCGCCCCCCCCCCCGCACCCGGCCUUUGAUAGGUCAGCGGGGCCAGGGCUGGGUGAGCACAACACGACACCCCCAGUCCUGCCCCCGGGCGUCAGAGACAGAACACAUCCCCCUCCCCCCACCUCCGGUUUUCAGAGACACAACACGCCCCCCCCGAGCUUCAGAGACACAACACCACCGCCCCCCACACCGGGCAGUGCAGGGCCGAGCGCGGCCGGAGGCUGGCGGCGAGCAGAGGGCGUGGGAGGGGGCCGGUGCUGAGGGCACGGCGCAGAGCAGGCCCGGGAGUUUGGCUGGCGCCGGCGUGUGGAGGUUUAUGACCAAGGAGGGUCACUGGGCGGCGAGCCCGGGGGGGUGCCUGGGGCCAGGCUGGUGUGGGCGCCGCGCUGCGGUGGGGCUGGGCUGAGCGGAGGGGGCAGCGCAGGGCCCAGGGGCAGUGCCCAUGCCCCACCCCGAGAUGCUGGUGCCAGGCUGGAGGCAGGGUGGCCCCAACGUGCUCCCAGCACAGGACCGGCUCCAUCCCUCCCACCAGUGGAUCCCCCUGGGCCCAGCGGGAGGGCGGCAGGGACCAGCCCCCACCACAGCGACACCUCCCUUUGCACCUCCUAGUCCUGCCCCACUGCCCGAGUGCCUGCCCCCCGCCACCCCCUCCGCCCCACGCUGCAACCAGGGGCCCGAACAGCCUUCAGUGCUGCUGAGACGCUCCCCACCCCCAGGGCGCUGUGCAGUCCUGAGGGCUCAGAUGGGGAAACCGAGGCACGGCACUGGCGGUCUCGCUGGAGGUGGGCUCUCCUGACUCGCAGUCCCAGGCCCGGCUGUGUCCCUGUCCUGUGACCAGCCAGCUCAGCCCCUCUCCGCCCCUCCCAUCGCGCUGCACACACACACACAGGGGACGCUGGGACCGUCGCUUUUAUUCGACACCUUAAAUAAGCCGCAUAUAUUACUAGCAAUAUGUUAUCAGAAUAAAAACCAAGAGUCUG